UCCAAAAUCAGACUGGGUGCUGGGAUC
rnacentral:piRNA from 1 species